AAUCGCUAUUUACACUACCAAC
rnacentral:miRNA from 17 species